GAUGAACGCUGGCGGCGUGCCUAAUACAUGCAAGUCGAGCGAACGGACGAGAAGCUUGCUUCUCUGAUGUUAGCGGCGGACGGGUGAGUAACACGUGGAUAACCUACCUAUAAGACUGGGAUAACUUCGGGAAACCGUAGCUAAUACCGGAUAAUAUUUUGAACCGCAUGGUUCAAAAGUGAAAGACGGUCUUGCUGUCACUUAUAGAUGGAUCCCCGCUGCAUUAGCUAGUUGGUAAGGUAACGGCUUACCAAGGCAACGAUGCAUAGCCGACCUGAGAGGGUGAUCGGCCACACUGGAACUGAGACACGGUCCAGACUCCUACGGGAGGCAGCAGUAGGGAAUCUUCCGCAAUGGGCUAAAGCCUGACGGAGCAACGCCGCGUGAGUGAUGAAGGUCUUCGGAUCGUAAAACUCUGUUAUUAGGGAAGAACAUAUGUGUAAGUAACUGUGCACAUCUUGACGGUACCUAAUCAGAAAGCCACGGCUAACUACGUG
rnacentral:rRNA from 1 species